GACGGAGGAUGCAAGUGUUAUCCGGAAUCACUGGGCGUAAAGCGUCUGUAGGUGGUUUCAAAAGUCCACUGUUAAAGAUUGAAGCUUAACUUCAAAAAUGCCGUGGAAACUUUGAAACUUGAGUAUGAUAGGGGUAGAGGGAAUUCCAGGUGGAGCGGUGAAAUGCGUAGAUAUUGGAAAGACCACCAAUGGCGAAGGCACUCUACUGGGCCAUUACUGACACUGAGAGACGAAAGCUAGGAGAGCAAAUGGG
rnacentral:rRNA from 1 species